UACGGAGGAUGCAAGCGUUAUCCGGAUUCAUUGGGUUUAAAGGGUGCGUAGGCGGACUAUUAAGUCAGUGGUGAAAGCCUGCAGCUUAACUGCAGAACUGCCAUUGAUACUGAUAGUCUUGAGUUUGGUUAAGGUAGGCGGAAUGUGUAAUGUAGCGGUGAAAUGCUUAAAUAUUACACAGAACACCAAUUGCGUAGGCAGCUUACUGAGCCGACACUGACGCUGAGGCACGAAAGCGUGGGGAUCGAACAGGAUUAGA
rnacentral:rRNA from 1 species